ACAAUUAUGAUCGUUAGAUGGGAUCAACUGAUGCCUAUGCCUGAUUCAUCUUGAUCGUAGAUCUGAUUUU
rnacentral:snoRNA from 14 species